rfam:Triticum aestivum genome assembly, contig: Triticum_aestivum_CS42_TGACv1_scaffold_406941_5BL
AUAGUACUCCCUCCGUCCCAAAAUUCUUGCCUUAGAUUUGCAUACAUAUGGAUGUAUCUAGUCACAUCUUAGUAUUAGAUACAUUCAUAUCUAGAUAAAUUUAAGACAAGAAUUUUGGAACAGAGGGAGUAGUAU